rnacentral:lncRNA from 1 species
UUUUUACUCAAGUGCCGUCAGUUCGUCGAGAUGGUCAACGGCUCAGACUCAGAGGUGUGUUCACUUCCUCGUUGCACCAAAAGCGGAUCAAACUACCACUCACCAAAUUCUACACCCUCCACGCAUAACUUCGCCUCCAAUUCCCACAUCAGUUAUCCAGUCAACCAAAGCCCUCAACGGCAACUCAAACAACAGAAACCACUGUGAUUCAGUAGAAGAAAUGAAUGCAGUCAACAAAAGUAUGAUGAACGGUGAUCAAAUGAUGGAUGGUGGAGGUGGAGGAAAGAAGGUAGAGGACGUGGACAUGAUCAUCCCUCCGCCUAUCGAAAAGAACAGUUCGAAUGGGCAUGCCAACGGCUAUCAAAAUGGAGACACAGUUCACGAGAAUGGAAAUAGUGAUGAGCAAGCUUCAGAUAUGAUGGAAGUAGACACACCAAAUGCAGGAAACGGUGUGAAUAGUUGUAAAAAACAACUGUGUGGUGGAAGCAAGCCAGCAAUUGAGAGAAUGCUAGAAUUCGGCCGAGAACUAUAUAACAUGAGCCUUCAGCUAAGGCAAGAACAAGGAAGAAACGAAACCAAUACCAAUAAAAAAUGUUGCAGGUAA